rnacentral:rRNA from 1 species
GACGAACGCUGGCGGCGUGCCUAAUACAUGCAAGUCGAACGAACCGCGACUAAGUGCUUGCACUAAGUCAAGGUGAGUGGCGAACGGGUGAGUAACACGUGGGUAACCUACCUCAUAGUGGGGGAUAACAGUCGGAAACGACUGCUAAUACCGCAUAGGACAUAGGAUCACAUGAUCCAGUGAGGAAAGGUGGCGCAAGCUAUCGCUAAGAGAUGGACCCGCGGUGCAUUAGCUAGUUGGUAGGGUAAAGGCCUACCAAGGCGAUGAUGCAUAGCCGACCUGAGAGGGUGAUCGGCUACAUUGGGACUGAGACACGGCCCAAACUCCUACGGGAGGCAGCAGUAGGGAAUCUUCCGCAAUGGACGCAAGUCUGACGGAGCAACGCCGCGUGAGUGAAGAAGGUCUUCGGAUCGUAAAGCUCUGUUGUUAGAGAAGAACAGCGCAUAGAGUAACUGCUAUGCGUGUGACGGUAUCUAACCAGAAAGCCACGGCUAACUACGUG